CCAAGGAGUCUAGCAUGUGCGCGAGUCAUUGGGACUCUAACGAAACCUAAAGGCGCAAUGAAAGUGAAGGUUCGCCUAGCGCGAACCGAGGGAGGAUGGACGGUCGUUCGUGGCCGUCCCGCACUCCCUGGGCGUCUCGUUCUCAUCGCGAGAAGAGGCGCACCAAGAGCGUACACGCUGGGACCCGAAAGAUGGUGAACUAUGCCUGGUCAGGACGAAGUCAGGGGAAACCCUGAUGGAGGUCCGUAGCGAUUCUGACGUGCAAAUCGAUCGUCGGAACUGGGUAUAGGGGCGAAAGACUAAUCGAACCAUCUAGUAGCUGGUUCCCUCCGAAGUUUCCCUCAGGAUAGCUGGCGCUCGCUUCUCGCGAGUCUCAUUCGGUAAAGCGAAUGAUUAGAGGCAUUGGGGUCGAAACGGCCUCAACCUAUUCUCAAACUUUAAAUGGGUGAGAUCUCCGGCUUGCUUGAACUGUGAAGCCGCGAGAUAUCGGAUCAGAGUGCCAAGUGGGCCACUUUUGGUCAGCAGAACUGGCGCUGUGGGAUGAACCAAACGCCGAGUUAAAGCGCCUAAAUCGACGCUUAUGGGAUACCAUGAAAGGCGUUGGUAACUUAAGACAGCAGGACGGUGGCCAUGGAAGUCGGAAUCCGCCAAGGAGUGUGUAACAACUCACCUGCCGAAGUUACUAGCCCUGAAAAUGGAUGGCGCUGAAGCGUCGUGCUUAUACUCUGCCGUCAGCGGCAUGUGAGACGGUCCUUAAGAGGUCGUCAUGAAGCCCUGACGAGUAGGAGGGUCGCGGCGGUGAGCGCAGAAGGACCAGGCGCGAGCCAGUCUGGAGCCGCCGUCGGUGCAGAUCUUGGUGGUAGUAGCAAAUACUCCAGCGAGGCCCUGGAGGACUGACGUGGAGAAGGGUUUCGUGUGAACAGCCGUUGCACACGAGUCAGUCGAUCCUAAGCCAUAGGCGAAAGCCGAUGUCGAUGCGGUGUAUCUUUCAGUGUCUAAGGUUAUUAUUAUUUCAUUAUAAUAUUAUCCUCGAAUAGGACGGAGAGACUCACACCCGUCGGGCGAAAGGGAAUCCGGUUCCUAUUCCGGAACCCGGCAGCGGAACCGUUAUUAAGUCGUGCCCUCAUUCAGAGAGUUCGUCGGGGCAACCCAAAAGGACCUGGAGACGCCGUCGGGAGAUCCGGGAAGAGUUUUCUUUUCUGCAUAAGCGCUCGAGUUCCAUGGAAUCCUCUAGCAGGGAGAUAUGGUUUGGAGCGCGAAGAGCACCGCAGUUGCGGCGGUGUCCGGAUCUUCCCCUCGGACCUUGAAAAUCCAGGAGAGGGCCACGUGGAGGCGUCGCGCCGGUU
rnacentral:rRNA from 1 species